rnacentral:rRNA from 1 species
ACAGGAUUAGAUACCCUGGUAGUCCACGCCGUAAACGAUGUCGACUUGGAGGUUGUGCCCUUGAGGCGUGGCUUCCGGAGCUAACGCGUUAAGUCGACCGCCUGGGGAGUACGGCCGCAAGGUUAGAACUCAAAUGAAUUGACGGGGGCCCGCACAAGCGGUGGAGCAUGUGGUUUAAUUCGAUGCAACGCGAAGAACCUUACCUGGUCUUGACAUCCACAGAACUUUCCAGAGAUGGAUUGGUGCCUUCGGGAACUGUGAGACAGGUGCUGCAUGGCUGUCGUCAGCUCGUGUUGUGAAACGUUGGGUUAAGUCCCGUAACGAGCGCAACCCUUGUCCUUAGUUACCAGCACGUGAUGGUGGGCACUCUAAGGAGACUGCCGGUGACAAACCGGAGGAAGGUGGGGAUGACGUCAAGUCAUCAUGGCCCUUACGGCCUGGGCUACACACGUGCUACAAUGGUCGGUACAGAGGGUUGCCAAGCCGCGAGGUGGAGCUAAUCCCACAAAACCGAUCGUAGUCCGGAUCGCAGUCUGCAACUCGACUGCGUGAAGUCGGAAUCGCUAGUAAUCGCGAAUCAGAAUGUCGCGGUGAAUACGU